AAAGGAAUUGACGGGGGCCCGCACAAGCGGUGGAGCAUGUGGUUUAAUUCGAUGCAACGCGAAGAACCUUACCUAGACUUGACAUCCCGGGAAUUCUUAGGAAACUAGAAGUGCCUUUCGGGGAGCCCGGUGACAGGUGGUGCAUGGUUGUCGUCAGCUCGUGUCGUGAGAUGUUGGGUUAAGUCCCGCAACGAGCGCAACCCCUAUUGUUAGUUGCCAUCAUUCAGUUGGGCACUCUAGCGAGACUGCCGGUAAUAAACCGGAGGAAGGUGGGGAUGACGUCAAAUCAUCAUGCCCCUUAUGACCUGGGCUACACACGUGCUACAAUGGUUGGUACAACGAGUUGCGAGUCGGUGACGGCGAGCUAAUCUCUUAAAGCCAAUCUCAGUUCGGAUUGUAGGCUGCAACUCGCCUACAUGAAGUCGGAAUCGCUAGUAAUCGCGGAUCAGCACGCCGCGGUGAAUACGUUCCCGGGCCUU
rnacentral:rRNA from 1 species